rnacentral:rRNA from 1 species
AUUGAACGCUGGCGGCAUGCCUUACACAUGCAAGUCGAACGGCAGCACGGGAGCAAUCCUGGUGGCGAGUGGCGAACGGGUGAGUAAUAUAUCGGAACGUGCCCAGUCAUGGGGGAUAACGCAGCGAAAGCUGUGCUAAUACCGCGUACGAUCUACGGAUGAAAGCGGGGGAUCGCAAGACCUCGCGCGAUUGGAGCGGCCGAUAUCAGAUUAGCUAGUUGGUGGGGUAAAAGCCCACCAAGGCGACGAUCUGUAGCUGGUCUGAGAGGACGACCAGCCACACUGGAACUGAGACACGGUCCAGACUCCUACGGGAGGCAGCAGUGGGGAAUUUUGGACAAUGGGCGCAAGCCUGAUCCAGCAAUGCCGCGUGCAGGAUGAAGGCCUUCGGGUUGUAAACUGCUUUUGUACGGAACGAAACGGCGAGCUCUAAUACAGUUUGCUAAUGACGGUACCGUAAGAAUAAGCACCGGCUAACUACGUGCCAGCCGCCGCCGUAA